rnacentral:rRNA from 1 species
GACGAACGCUGGCGGCGUGCCUAAUACAUGCAAGUUGAGCGCUGAAGGUUGGUACUUGUACCAACUGGAUGAGCAGCGAACGGGUGAGUAACGCGUGGGGAAUCUGCCUUUGAGCGGGGGACAACAUUUGGAAACGAAUGCUAAUACCGCAUAAAAACUUUAAACACAAGUUUUAAGUUUGAAAGAUGCAAUUGCAUCACUCAAAGAUGAUCCCGCGUUGUAUUAGCUAGUUGGUGAGGUAAAGGCUCACCAAGGCGAUGAUACAUAGCCGACCUGAGAGGGUGAUCGGCCACAUUGGGACUGAGACACGGCCCAAACUCCUACGGGAGGCAGCAGUAGGGAAUCUUCGGCAAUGGACGAAGGUCUGACCGAGCAACGCCGCGUGAGUGAAGAAGGUUUUCGGAUCGUAAAACUCUGUUGGUAGAGAAGAACGUUGGUGAGAGUGGAAAGCUCAUCAAGGGACGGUAACUACCCAGAAAGGGACGGCGAACUACGU